rnacentral:rRNA from 1 species
GUGAGAGUGGCGCACGGGUGCGUAACGCGUGAGCAACCUGCCUCCAUCAGGGGGAUAGCCUCUCGAAAGAGAGAUUAACACCGCAUAACAUCAUCAUNUNGCAUGUUCAGNUGAUUAAAUAUUUAUAGGAUGGAGAUGGGCUCGCGUGACAUUAGCUAGUUGGUAGGGUAACGGCUUACCAAGGCGACGAUGUCUAGGGGCUCUGAGAGGAGAAUCCCCCACACUGGUACUGAGACACGGACCAGACUCCUACGGGAGGCAGCAGUAAGGAAUAUUGGUCAAUGGGCGGAAGCCUGAACCAGCCAUGCCGCGUGCAGGAUGACUGCCCUAUGGGUUGUAAACUGCUUUUGUCCGGGAAUAAACCUNAAUACGUGUAGGGAGCUGAAUGUACCGGAA